GAUGAACGCUAGCGGGAGGCCUAACACAUGCAAGCCGAGCGGUAUUGUUUCUUCUGCAAUGAGAGAGCGGCGUACGGGUGCGUAACACGUGUGCAACCUGCCUUUAUCUGGGGGAUAGCCUUUCGAAAGGAAGAUUAAUACUCCAUAAUAUAUUGAACGGCAUCGUUUAAUAUUGAAAGCUCCGGCGGAUAGAGAUGGGCACGCGCAAGAUUAGCUAGUUGGUGAGGUAACGGCUCACCAAGGCGAUGAUCUUUAGGGGGCCUGAGAGGGUGAUCCCCCACACUGGUACUGAGACACGGACCAGACUCAUACGGGAGGCAGCAGUGAGGAAUAUUGGUCAAUGGGUGCAAGCCUGAACCAGCCAUCCCGCGUGAAGGACGACUGCCCUAUGGGUUGUAAACUUCUUUUGUAUAGGGAUAAACCUACCCUCGAGAGGGUAGCUGAAGGUACUAUACGAAUAAGCACCGGCUAACUCCGUG
rnacentral:rRNA from 1 species